CCCAACCCUACAUCGUGUCUAUUGUGUUUUCUCUGUCGUGCUAAUAGGAAGGGAGACGGGUACUCUACAGCUUUUUACGCCUCUAUUGCUGACGUGAGGGAAGGGAGCGGAUCUGGUGAUCCGUGGUAACGUAGUUCUCAACACGUUAUCAGCACGCUCUACCUCGACGUUGCUGCGGCGAGAUCAGAUCUACAUCAACUCUCCGUCAAGCCGGCAGGUCUUUGGCCUAGCCGAACUGUCCUACGCGACAGGCUUCGAUUCUCCCUCUACGCAAUCGAGUGGUAUGUUUUCUUGAUCCGCUGGUGUGAUCUAUGCGACACAAACUUGUUGUCUCCGUUAUGGUGCUGCGUCCGUGCCGGAAGCGCUGCACCCGUGGUAGCUAGCUCUCACCAGAAGAUGAGAUCAAAUCUUAUAGUGGGCAUCGACUUUAACGCGUGGCCGCCCUGCAUGGCGGCGCCCGGAAACGGACACACGGAGCUUCGGCCUCUGCUCCACAAGCUCGUGCGACGCCUCGCCCGCGCACUUCCCCGCGCAGCCGCGCUAGUCCCGCCCGCCGCACGCGAUGGUAGCGCCCUCCGUGACCCGGCGUACCCCUCGCGAUGUCACUCGAGCCGAGUGCAGGCAUCCCGUCGCCGGUUGUCAAACUCGGGAUCAGGAGCAGCGCCGUCCACGCGCAUCCAGUAACAGAUCACGAGAAAAAGGUGCAAGGUUGGUGGAGUGGUGUUUAAGCGCACCAGCUAGGAGGCAUGCACAACCGUCUGACCCGGUCACAUGCAUGCACAAUCGUCUCCAAUGCAUGCACGUGUAAUGAGCGGCGGUAGUUUUGCUUGCAUGCAGCCUAUUGUGGCCACAGAUGCAGUAAAAAGGAGCCGAUGUUGAUCCAGUCAAAGGCAGUUAGCCAAUUUCUAAAGCCCGGUCAAAGUUGCCUGACCGUGCGUUUAUGAACAAAAAAAAGUUACUGGUUUUUUUCGUAAAUACACGCUGAAUCAAUAAACUUUUGUACAUUUUUUUAAUUUAUGUACAUGCUCUAUGUUGUUUAUUUUAUUUAUUUCCUGUAGCAAAUAAUAAAUAGAAUAAACAAUUUUUGCAGUUUCUACUUUAAUUAAUUAUUUCCCGUAGUAAAUAAUUAGUAGAAAAUGCAUGCUUAAAUAUAGAAAAUGUCUUUUACACCUGAUGUGUUAUGUUCAUGUAUUAAUUAUGGUGUUCAUUUUUUCUGUAUUAAUAAUUAUUUCCCGUAGUAAAUAAUUAGCAGAAAAUUAUUAAAAUGCCUGUGAAGGUUAUAUUGUGUAUACUCAAAUCGCUCUAAAUAUUUGUGUUGCGUUGAGCUUUUGGGCUCACGUCGAGCGAUUAAUGAUAUAAUGGGUACUUAGACACGUCGAUCAGAUUACAUUUUUCAUUGGUUGAGCUAUGACAUUGGCUAAGCAUUGGCUGCGCUCUGGCAACACGUCGCAUUAUUUGUGUCAUUAGAACUUAGUUGCGUCAUGUGAUUGCUAUGUUGUACUCUCGCUUAAUCCGACCACUCCUGUUGAGUUGGACCGGCAUCGCCGAGUCAUGUAUUUUUUCGCAUGCCUGUAAGCACUGUUCGUCUGUCGUUAUCACCGAGCCACAAUUGCGUCUGUUGCACACGUUGUGUGGACUUGUCGCGUAUCCCAAUUACCGAGCCACAAUUGCACCUGUUACGCUUGUUAUGGAGGCUUGUUGCGUUGUCGUAGCCCAGAUGGCCACACACGCGUUGACGCCAGAUACGAUAGAGCUUUUACUCGCGUGGAUUGUGGUGGGUCGUUCAAGCCCUAAAGUCACAUUAUGCGCAACCUUCGUAAACAAUUUUGUUUAGCUCUAUAUUUUAUUUGCUUGUGUUGUGUGGCAUCAUAUAUUUAUUUAUAUUGCCAAGUGGCCAUAACAACUAUAUCAAGCUCUAUAGUGCUCGAAUAAUUUGGGAAAUUAAAUUGAAAUACAACAGAACAUGGAUAAGUUAAUUCUCUCCUCUCUCCUCAUGCAUAAAGUUUUACCCGAAGUAACCCGAAGAUAUAUAAUAUAAUGCAUGAAAGCCUUUUUGGCAUAGAAGAUAUCACAAAUUGGGAUUAUAUUAGUAAGCAAAAAGACCUUACCAAAUGAUUUAAGAUCAGAAAUCUCAGUCAUACAUUGCUCAACCAGAUGUUAGCACAUUGCUCUCUUUGUCGCUGGAUGACAUGAAGCAAACUAUGAGAUAAAAGGACAUGUAACUGCUAGCAACAAGAAGUUGCGAGUAUACCGAGAGGUUAUUUUGAGAAAUUUUUCACUAUGUUGGUGUGAAAACCAUAGUGUGUUCCCGUCGAACCACUUUACUCGUUCUAUCUAGGACCUCUAUGCUUGUGUCGCAUACAUCUCUCAGAAUUGUAAAUACUUAUAGUCACUGAAUUGACUCGGGAUAGUCCUUUGACAAGUUUGUUAUACACUGUAAGCUGAAUGGUAAAGGUCGGUCCUGAAUGGACACAUACCUAGGGUUUAUGUAGCCGAAUUACACUGAAUUCCACCCUUUGGCAUGCUUACCAUUAUCUACCUCUGAUCUACCAGAAGUGAGAAGAGUAGACAAAUAACUAUAAAAUUCCACAUCACAACAGAGCUUGAAGCUAAAUUAGACAUUAACAUGUCCUUGGUCCUCGGAGCCAGAAGAGUCAUAUGUCUUGACCACUAGACUACUAGUGAUGAUAAUUUAUGAUAGAAAUAUGAAGAUCUUGUAGAGACCUAUUGUAUCCUCUCUACUCCAGACGAUUUCUUCGUAUGAGAGCAAUACUAUCUAUUGUUGAAGACGGAUCCUAGGCGGAUACCAGUCUUGUUUCGUUCUUGCCAAGCAGUUAUCAUCAUUUGUUUCAUGAAAAGCUAGUUAUAUGGUGAUUUUUCACAGAUAAAAAUGAAUUCUUGGCCUUGUCUGUUCUAUUCCAAAGCUUCUCUUUUUGCCGAACAACGAAGAGAUCGAAAUAAUGCUUUAUAGAACAAAUUGGUAUAUAAUAUGAGGAGAAAUGUUUGCCCUGCUGGCAGCAUCACAAAUUAUUAACUAUUGUUAUAAAUUCUCUCUCAAAAUUAUUAUACCUAAAAAUGUUGCAUUAACCGAUACCCAAUUUCAGAACGGUAUGAGUAAUUGGGUAAACCAUGGGCAAUAAUAAAAUGAGCUGGACUAUACAUCUCUGCAUAUAAAAAUCUCUGCUUGGCAGCAUUGGCCUGAUGCCAUGCACUUUACCACCAUUAUAUACGCACAUAUUCUCCUAUGUGCUUGAAAGCACAAUGUAACCAAUGAAUGUCCUUGUGAGCGCUAGACCCUGAUGGUCAUUUUAUUUGUUGAUUUGAAGUCAACUACUACCUCCAAACGAUGAAUGGUAUGCAUGAGCCCCUGAAGGACUCUUCUGGAUAACAUAGUGUUGCGCAUAUCAGUCUAAAUCUUAAUGAUUGACUUGUAUUUGGUAAUAAAAACAAUAAGUUUGCAGAAUUGUAACCAUGAAGCAACUUGUUGUUGCGUGUCUUGCUGGAAGUUGAGACUAAUCCUUCACGAUGAAGGACAAAUAUGUAGUAUUCAUGCCACUACAUUAAUCUAAGUCCAAAGCUCACUGCAUAAAACCCCUAUCUGUAAUGUGCGUAAGAUUUCCCAAAUAAAUCACCACAAUAGCAAACAUUAGCCACAACUGGAUGAUUGUGGUUGGGGAUUUUAUCUAUAUGCUUUUUAGAACAUCUCGGCAUUAGGGGGAGGAAUGCCCAUAUAGUAUAAUGCUUCAAUAUUCUAUUAAACGCACAAAAGUCAAACUGAAUCUAUCGUUCAGUGUGUACUCCUGUGUAUAUGGAGUUUGCCAGAAAUUGUUGAGGAGUAACCAUAUUGGUCUGAAUGCCUCUACCUGAUGUAGAUGUGGAUAUACCCGGGAUUAAUAUAAUAUCCACAUUUGACUUAUUGACAUUUGAUCUAUUCUCGGGGACGCCUGCGAAUAUGAUCCGUUGGUCUUAGUCAAAGCAUAUAUUCUAAUUGCAGAUUCACGUGGUCUGUAAUAACUCUCUUCCAAUGGACUCGCCCUGCUGGUGAUUUGCCUCACGAAGAGGUUCAUCUUGAUGAUGAAAUUCCUAGCAAUGCGCGCAAUAUCAUUGUGCUGGGAAUACGGAACAAUGAAUCUUUCGUUUUGGGAAAUGACGAAGAUCAUUAUUAAAUGUGGGAGACAAAUGUGUCGACACCUAUAUUGCCUCUAUAGAUUGCAAAGGGAUCCAAAACAAAGUCCUAGGCAUGAGUGCUUGAAGCUCUCUUAUCGGGUCAUUGAUAAAUGCAAUCGAGGCUGAACCAAUAAUCGCAAAAUGAAAGUCACGAGCUUGAAGUUCGGACAUUUAUGGGCACUAUUGAAAUAAUGUGUGGUGAAUGCGAUGGUUCAAGUGGUCUUGUGAGAGACCCAUCCCACAUAUGUGUUGAAUAAACACUGUUCCGCUAUGUAAUAUAUCUGGCAAAUGGCAUGAAUUAAAAUAUGCAGUAAUAGGAUUCUGAAGAUCCAUCAUGAGAUCCUAGGAGGACCCAUAUCUUUGAAUUAUAAAUAUGCAACAUAUAAAUCUCGUACCGAAUAAUACAUUCCUGACGAAUGAACACUCUCUUAUGUAGAGAGAAUAUCUCCUAGAUGAGAUUAUAGUUCCUUAAUGGAACCUUUCCAGAAGAAAUAAAGUCUAUGUUAAACACCAAAGUUUGAUAAUCCCUAUAAAGGGAUAAAGACCCAUACAGACCCGAAAAGGAAUGAGACGAGGUACCAACAGACUUGAAGUUCACUGAAUAAGCACAUGUGCAUUCCACGAGUUUUACUCAUGGUAUUUUCCAGUUGAUGUGGAAUUACGGUAUCCUCUAAAGCCCUGAUGGCAGAAACCUAUAAGGUUUAGGUGUUACUGGCAAAAUAUCCCCAUUGUGCCAGAAUGACAGACUAUAACGAUGUAUCUGAUCGUUAAAAAAUCCCUGAUGGAUUACGAUCUUUGAUGAACUUUUGUUACACCAUCAUAGAUGUUGCAAUGGAUGAACGCUUGGAGCGAUGUGUCAUAUUUAGAAUAUGUACUAUUGCAACUAUAUUAUCCCCUAAGUCCUAUUGAAGGACAUGCUAUUUGCUUUGCACAACUAUGUAUAAAUUGUGGUGUAAGAUAGAAAAUGAUAGCACCUAACCUCAUCCAUUCUCAUUAUUCCAGAUGAACAAUGAGACAUAUAUCUUGAAGAAUAUGCUUG
rnacentral:lncRNA from 1 species